rnacentral:rRNA from 1 species
AGGGGCUACGGCAGGUCAGUAUGCCCCGAAACUCUGGGGCCACACGCGGGCUGCAAUGGUAGUGACAAUGAGGUUCCAAACUCGAAAGAGAGUGGCAAUCUCUAAACGCUACCACAGUUAUGACUGAGGGCUGUAACUCGCCCUCACGAAUAUGGAAUCCCUAGUAACCGCGUGUCAUUACCGCGCGGUGAAUACGUCCCUGCUCCUU